GUAACUUCUGUUAGAGGGACGAAUAGCUUCGAUCAAAUCGAAGUUUGACGGUACCCUCAGAGAAAGCCCCGGCUAACUACGUGC
rnacentral:rRNA from 1 species